rnacentral:rRNA from 1 species
AUAGCAUAUCAGAAGGCACACCCGGAGAACUGAAACAUCUUAGUACCCGGAGGAAGAGAAAGAAAAUUCGAUUCCCUUAGUAGCGGCGAGCGAAAUGGGAAGAGCCCAAACCAACAAGCUUGCUUGUUGGGGUUGUAGGACACUCUAUACGGAGUUAUAAAGGACGACAUUAGACGAAUCAUCUGGAAAGAUGAAUCAAAGAAGGUAAUAAUCCUGUAGUCGAAAAUGUUGUCUCUCUUGAGUGGAUCCUGAGUACGACGGAGCACGUGAAAUUCCGUCGGAAUCUGGGAGGACCAUCUCCUAAGGCUAAAUACUCUCUAGUGACCGAUAGUGAACCAGUACCGUGGGGGAAAGGUGAAAAGCACCCCGGAAGGGGAGUGAAAUAGAACCUGAAACCGUGUGCUUACAAGUAGUCAGAGCCCGUUAAUGGGUGAUGGCGUGCCUUUUGUAGAAUGAACCGGCGAGUUACGAUUUGAUGCAAGGUUAAGCAGUAAAUGUGGAGCCGUAGCGAAAGCGAGUCUGAAUAGGGCGUUUAGUAUUUGGUCGUAGACCCGAAACCAGGUGAUCUACCCUUGGUCAGGUUGAAGUUCAGGUAACACUGAAUGGAGGACCGAACCGACUUACGUUGAAAAGUGAGCGGAUGAACUGAGGGUAGCGGAGAAAUUCCAAUCGAACCUGGAGAUAGCUGGUUCUCUCCGAAAUAGCUUUAGGGCUAGCCUCAAGUGAUGAUUAUUGGAGGUAGAGCACUGUUUGGACGAGGGGCCCCUCUCGGGUUACCGAAUUCAGACAAACUCCGAAUGCCAAUUAAUUUAACUUGGGAGUCAGAACAUGGGUGAUAAGGUCCGUGUUCGAAAGGGAAACAGCCCAGACCACCAGCUAAGGUCCCAAAAUAUAUGUUAAGUGGAAAAGGAUGUGGCGUUGCCCAGACAACUAGGAUGUUGGCUUAGAAGCAGCCAUCAUUUAAAGAGUGCGUAAUAGCUCACUAGUCGAGUGACACUGCGCCGAAAAUGUACCGGGGCUAAACAUAUUACCGAAGCUGUGGAUUGUCCUUUGGACAAUGGUAGGAGAGCGUUCUAAGGGCGUUGAAGCAUGAUCGUAAGGACAUGUGGAGCGCUUAGAAGUGAGAAUGCCGGUGUGAGUAGCGAAAGACGGGUGAGAAUCCCGUCCACCGAUUGACUAAGGUUUCCAGAGGAAGGCUCGUCCGCUCUGGGUUAGUCGGGUCCUAAGCUGAGGCCGACAGGCGUAGGCGAUGGAUAACAGGUUGAUAUUCCUGUACCACCUAUAAUCGUUUUAAUCGAUGGGGGGACGCAGUAGGAUAGGCGAAGCGUGCGAUUGGAUUGCACGUCUAAGCAGUAAGGCUGAGUAUUAGGCAAAUCCGGUACUCGUUAAGGCUGAGCUGUGAUGGGGAGAAGACAUUGUGUCUUCGAGUCGUUGAUUUCACACUGCCGAGAAAAGCCUCUAGAUAGAAAAUAGGUGCCCGUACCGCAAACCGACACAGGUAGUCAAGAUGAGAAUUCUAAGGUGAGCGAGCGAACUCUCGUUAAGGAACUCGGCAAAAUGACCCCGUAACUUCGGGAGAAGGGGUGCUCUUUAGGGUUAACGCCCAGAAGAGCCGCAGUGAAUAGGCCCAAGCGACUGUUUAUCAAAAACACAGGUCUCUGCUAAACCGUAAGGUGAUGUAUAGGGGCUGACGCCUGCCCGGUGCUGGAAGGUUAAGAGGAGUGGUUAGCUUCUGCGAAGCUACGAAUCGAAGCCCCAGUAAACGGCGGCCGUAACUAUAACGGUCCUAAGGUAGCGAAAUUCCUUGUCGGGUAAGUUCCGACCCGCACGAAAGGCGUAACGAUUUGGGCACUGUCUCAACGAGAGACUCGGUGAAAUCAUAGUACCUGUGAAGAUGCAGGUUACCCGCGACAGGACGGAAAGACCCCGUGGAGCUUUACUGUAGCCUGAUAUUGAAAUUCGGCACAGCUUGUACAGGAUAGGUAGGAGCCUUUGAAACGUGAGCGCUAGCUUACGUGGAGGCGCUGGUGGGAUACUACCCUAGCUGUGUUGGCUUUCUAACCCGCACCACUUAUCGUGGUGGGAGACAGUGUCAGGCGGGCAGUUUGACUGGGGCGGUCGCCUCCUAAAAGGUAACGGAGGCGCUCAAAGGUUCCCUCAGAAUGGUUGGAAAUCAUUCAUAGAGUGUAAAGGCAUAAGGGAGCUUGACUGCGAGACCUACAAGUCGAGCAGGGUCGAAAGACGGACUUAGUGAUCCGGUGGUUCCGCAUGGAAGGGCCAUCGCUCAACGGAUAAAAGCUACCCCGGGGAUAACAGGCUUAUCUCCCCCAAGAGUUCACAUCGACGGGGAGGUUUGGCACCUCGAUGUCGGCUCAUCGCAUCCUGGGGCUGUAGUCGGUCCCAAGGGUUGGGCUGUUCGCCCAUUAAAGCGGUACGCGAGCUGGGUUCAGAACGUCGUGAGACAGUUCGGUCCCUAUCCGUCGUGGGCGUAGGAAAUUUGAGAGGAGCUGUCCUUAGUACGAGAGGACCGGGAUGGACAUACCUCUGGUGUACCAGUUGUCGUGCCAACGGCAUAGCUGGGUAGCUAUGUGUGGACGGGAUAAGUGCUGAAAGCAUCUAAGCAUGAAGCCCCCCUCAAGAUGAGAUUUCCCAACUUCGGUUAUAAGAUCCCUCAAAGAUGAUGAGGUUAAUAGGUUCGAGGUGGAAGCAUGGUGACAUGUGGAGCUGACGAAUACUAAUCGAUCGAAGACUUAAUCAA